CUUUACUGUAGCCUUACAUUGGACUUUGAACAGAUCUGUGUAGGAUAGGUGGGAGGCUUUGAAGCGGUGCCGCUAGGUGUCGUGGAGCCAACGUUGAAAUACCACCCUGGUGUGUUUGAGGUUCUAACCUUGGCCCGUUAUCCGGGUUGGGGACAGUGUAUGGUGGGCAGUUUGACUGGGGCGGUCUCCUCCCAAAGCGUAACGGAGGAGUUCGAAGGUACGCUAGGCACGGUCGGAAAUCGUGCUGAUAGUGCAUAGGCAUAAGCGUGCUUGACUGCGAGACGGACAUGUCGAGCAGGUACGAAAGUAGGACUAAGUGAUCCGGUGGUUCUGUAUGGAAGGGCCAUCGCUCAACGGAUAAAAGGUA
rnacentral:rRNA from 1 species